rnacentral:rRNA from 1 species
AGUGAACGCUGGCGGUAGGCCUAACACAUGCAAGUCGAACGGCAGCACAGUAGGAGCUUGCUCUUACGGGUGGCGAGUGGCGGACGGUGGAGGAAUACAUCGGAAUCUACUUUUUCGUGGGGGAUAACGUAGGGAAACUUACGCUAAUACCGCAUACGACCUACGUGUGAAAGCAGGGGAUCUUCGGACCUUGCGGGAUUGAAUGAGCCGAUGUCGGAUUAGCUAGUUGGCGGGGUAAAGGCGCACCAAGGCGACGAUCCGAAGCUGGUCUGAGAGGAUGAUUCGGUACAUUGGCACUGAGAAACGUCCGACACUCUUAGGGGAGGACGCAGUGGGGACUAUUGCACAAUGCGCGCAAGCCUGAUCCAGCCAUACCGCGUGAGUGCAGAAGGCCUCAGGCUUGUAAAGUGAUUUUGUUGGGAAAGAAAAGCAGUAGUUUAAUCCCCCGCUGUUAUGACGGUACCCAAAGAAUAAGCACCGGCUAACUUCGUG